GACGGACGGAGAGCCUGCCAGAGCACCUGGAAGGAGCUAAUCUACAGAGUGACCAGGAGGAGGUGCCCUAGCGGCUUUCCUCAAUGGUGCCCCAGUGCCAGGAAUUGUCUCUGCCUCAGAGCUCCCUUGCUUGCCUUGUUGUGAAAAUCGGGCCUACACAUUUACUCUAAUUAUGACCUCAACAGUCAAAAGUAUGUGAAAGUUCAGAAAAUGCCACAAUAAUAUGUAAUAGCAAACGUUGGUGGGGAAAGGUACGAAAAGGAGCCAGAGGAACAGAAUGAGUCUAAACAAAAAGGCCUGCUGAUAUAACUCAAAGGCUGUGUUAAAAUCGUGAUUGGCAAAAACAGAUGAUAUGGAACUGGAAAUUAAUAAACCAGAAUUGGCAUAUCAAAUGUAAGGCCUAGUUGGUGGACAAAAUAAUGAGGGAAUGGGCCAUUCCACCCACCACUCCCUUUUGGGCACUUAAACAAGAGACUUUGGAGGGAGAAUAUGGAAGAACAAGUGGAGUCUACUGGAGUGAGCUUCACCUUCAUGGCUGCCAUCCCCACCCUCUCCUGGGACCUCAGACCUUCAUCAUCUUAAUCCUGAGAGAUGUCCUGACCAGACUGGGCCAGAGAGAGAGACCCAGAUGGCAUCGCCCCAUCAGCUCCAGCUGAGAUAAAACAGGAUCAGACUUUAAUAACAACAGCAGCUCUGGCUCAUCUCAACUUGCUUCUUCUCUUUACCCCAAUAGACACCUAGUACCAUCUUCAGUACCCUCUAAAAGACUGUCAAACAAGGGAGUUUUCCCUCUAAAUCUCUCUCCAGGGAAAGGGAACAAAAAAUGUUGUUAAAAUAAAAGUCGUACUUAAUACUUCACAUUU